AUUCCUUACGGCCAAUUUGUUAAAACUAGGAAACAAAUAUUUUUUCUUAAUUCUUGAAAAUAUAUACCAUGAAUUCACAGUCAUUAAUUUUAACUGUUUAAGAUUAUAUGUUCUCCAAAAGUUAAUAGCAACAAACAAUUGUUUAAUUCUAACACAGCUCUAAUUUGUUUAGGUUAAAGAGUAAAGAUGUUUUCCUAGCAAAAUCCUAUCAUGAUGUAAAUUAGAAAACAGAUUUUUUCCCCUGAAUUUCUGAAUAAUUUUCAGAAAUUUGGAAAAUAUCCUAUGAAAAACGUCAUCAAAGAUUAAGUAUUCUAGUUGCACUUUUCAUUUUUAAAAGACUUAUUAGCUGGGCUCAAAUCAAAACAAAUUGGAAGGCCAAAUAAGUGUAGUUAGAGGGCAUAGAAAACAAACAAUCCCAGAAAUGUGUGCCAUCCUCAAUUUAUUAUUGAAUUGUAAGAGACAGAAAGUUGUGAUGUAUUAAUAUAAUGUAUUUGGAAAUUAUAUACUGUGGAUUGAUUCUUAUUCGUGAUAGGAUUCCAGUUUUUGUAGGUACAAGUGAAUUGUGAAAUUAAAUGAAAACGAUUGACAAAUUUCCUAUAGGCUUUUAUGCUGACUUCCGCAAACCACAAAAUUAAGUACCAACAAACAUGUGAGAUUUCCUUAAUACAAGAAAAUUGAUACCCACGAAAAAAUAAAUGGAUCCACAGUAUGCUGGUAUGAUACAUUAUAACAAACUUAGAUUUCAAGGCCUGUGACUUUCCUCAGUAUUUAUAGCGGAAAGUAAAGGAAAGUCCUUUCACUGAACACAAGCAUAGAUCUACCUCACAUAGUAACUGUAUUAUUAACAACCUGACCAAGUCACAAAAAAUGUUAAUUUUAACUGUAGUUAAUCAAUUGUACAAAACUUUUAAUAGUACUGCAUUUAUUAUUACCUUUACUUAAACAAGGGACCAAGAAAACUACAAACAUAAAAAAUUUAAAUUUUAUUUAUUUAUUUUUUUUAGGGAAAGGGGGUUCCUAGUAGAUAGUGAUUUGUUUUUUAAGUGCAAAGUUAUUUGUAUAAAUUUUGAAUUAGAAACAAGAUUUUGAACUAGAAAUAAAAAUUUGUACCAGAAAUAAAAUUUUGAACUAGAAUCAUUUAAUAUAGUUUCCUUUUUUUUCGAUAUCUAGUUCAUAGAUCCGAUGAAAAUUUCAAUCAGCUAUCAAAUUUAUUCAAAUUUCAUGGGAUAAUAAGAAAAUUAUAAAAUGACAAAAUGUAAUGUUUAUGGGUCCAAGGUGAAAUAUUUACCAAUAUAAUUUCUAUUUAAACUCCUCUAUGUAUUAAUUCUUGAUAUAGGAUAAUUAACUGUUGUAUAAAUUGAUAUAUAAUAUGAACCUAAUGUAUUAAUGUAUCUUGUGUAUGUUAAAUACAAUAUAAAAAGCAUUAUAAUAAUACAUGGUACUGGUGCAAUAUUGUAUUACGAUACAUGUUAUGUAGUAUUACAC
rnacentral:lncRNA from 1 species